rnacentral:lncRNA from 1 species
CUAGCAGAGCAACAGAUAUGGGCAGCAACGACGGAUAAGGCCAAGAACCAAGCAUUUAACUGCACAAACGGCGACGUUUUUAUGUGGAAGAGCUUAUGGAAACUGUUGUCAGAAAUCUUUGACGUUGAGUUUGUGCCGUUUGAUGAUGAGAAAAAUGAAAAAUUUGAUGUGGUUGAGAUGAUGAAGGAGAAAGGAGAAAUAUGGGAUGAGAUUGUUGAGAAACAUGGGCUGUAUAAGACCAAAUUGGAGGAGAUAACUUGUUUUGAGGCAAUGAAACUUGUCUUGCAUUUUGAGUUUCAGCAUGUCAGUAGCAUGAACAAGAGCAGAGAAUUUGGGUUCUUUGGGUUUGUUGAUACCAUGAAGAGUAUUAGAAUGUGGGUGGGGAAGUUACGAGAGAUGAAGAUCAUACCAUGAGAUUCAAGAUUCAAGAUUCAAGAUCAUAGUUGUAGCAAGUAAAUGUAGCUGGGCUUGAUGUUUUGGUUCGGUCUCGUUUUAGCCAGUCCACAUUACCAAUUUGAAAAUGUUAUAAACUCAACUAUUUUCUUUUUUUAAGACAGCAGAUUUUUACUUGUCAUUGUACCACGUGCAUAAAAAAGUACGAUGAACUAGUUUUAAAUAUUCUUAAGAAUUUUGUUUCAAAGAGUAUUCUCAUCACCACAAUUUAUUUAUAUCUUUUUAAAAAAUUUGUGAACUUGAAGUUUCUAAGUAAUUAUUUUUGCUAGUACCAUUUAUUCGUCUAUAUUUAAUUAUUAGAAAAUGAAAAGAUCUUAAAUAAAUAUUAUUAUUUGAAAAAUUCGAAUAGUCUUGGCCUUUAGUAGUUUUUUUCUCUUAAUUUGACCAUUUGUUUAGGAACUAAAACGCAAGACGGCAAAAGGAAUAAUGCGCGUGGUAGUUACCCACCCCACCUUUUUUUGGGGAGGGGGGGAAUCUUUGUCAUUUUUUUUAUGCACGUAGGUAGAGCUGGCAAAAUUUGACACGACCCGAUUACCCGACACGAACACGACAUAAAUAAAUGGGUAUGGGUCGUCAAAUUUAACACGAUUAUUAAAUGGGUCGGGUCCGGGUCAACACGAUUUUUUUCCGUGUCGGGUUUGGGUUAAAAUUCUUGACCCAUUUACCCGAUCAAUGACCCGAUUAUAUUUUCUAUUUUAAAAUAAUUUACAUAUUCUUAUAAUUAAAACUCAAAUAUUAGAGAUGAUUUUCUUUUUUUUUUAUUCUUUAAAAUGGUGAAUAUAAACACAAUGUUUUAUUUAUAAAAUUUUACAUACAUUUAGAGCUUCAAUAGUGUAAAUGUGUAAAAAUUGAUAGACAUGUAUAUUUUAUAAUAUUGAUAUAUAAUAUUAUAUAUAUAUAUAUAUAUAUAUAAUUAAAACUCAAUAGUGUACAUGUGUAAUAUAUUGGUAGAUAUGUAUAUUUUAUAAUAUCGAUAAAUUAUGUAUGUAUGUAUGUAUGUAUUUAUUUAUGUACAUACGUAUGUAUGAUAGUGUGUAAAUAUUUGAUGUAACUUUUGUUCAAUAUAUAGAUAUUAAACGGGUUAUUGGGUAACCCGGUUAUUUUUCCGUGUCGGGUUUGGGUCUCAAUAUUUUGACACGAUUAUUAAAUGGGUCGGGUUUGGGUCGACCUAAAUUUGACACGACACGAAGCUGACACGACACGAACACGACCCGAUGACCCAUUUUGCCAGCUCUACACGUAGGUAUAUUAAUAUUGGAAAUCGUUGCAUAAAUUUUUUAUUUUGAAAAAAUUUCAUAGGUUAGUUAUUAAAAAAAAAACUACAAGUGUUUAAUGGAAUAAUACGUAUGUAUUGCUGUGUUACUCUCUCUAAACAGCAAUUAGCUCUUGAAUUGAUAGAAUGAAAUAUACAACUUGAUGUUUACGUGAGAAGUGAUGGGUUUUUUUUUUUGAAUACUGAUUAAUCAUCAGAUUACUGCAUUACACAGAUAUUUACAACAACUGCUAUUGGAGCAGAGAUAUUAUAUUGAUAUUUACAAUCAGAUAUACAUAAUUGGGACUUAUAUUAUGACAUUGAAUUCUAUGAAGUACAUGCCCAAACAAAUAACCCCUCACAGGAGAGGGAUGUCCAUACUCCACUCGCAUUUCGCAAGGGAGAAUGAUUUUUUUGGAAGUAUAAAGAACAUUUAGCCCCCACAAUGCUUUUGUGGGGGCUAGAACCGCUGCCCUCACAAUGCUUGUGAGGGCAGUAGCCCACCACUUCGGCCAAGGCCGAAGUGGCGAGAAGUGAUGGGUUAUUGUCUCAUCAUUUUAACCCAAAAAUUUAUUUCAUUGAACUAGUUGGCAUCCACGAGGCAUGUUGAGUUCAGAGUAACUAGUUCUAAUUAAAUUCAAAUAAGAUAAGAGAUAUUAGAUAAUAACAAGUUAAAAUAUAAAUAAGAUGAUUAAUAAAUCAAAUUAAUAGAAUGAAUCACAUUUAGGUAGGUUGUGUAUUAUUAACGGCGAUAUCCUCACAAGUGCAGAAGAAUAAAAAGAUUGAGAUUAGAUUAUUUUUAAAAAUUUGAAUCCAAGAUCAAGUUUGGAGUAGACGAAAAGGCCCGCAUAAAACAUUACCAAUUCCAUUGACUAACUAUAAAAAAAGAAUAUGUUAAAGAAUAAUGAUAUUUGAUCCUGCUAAUUAAUUUUGUCAACCAUCGCUUUUCAAAUUAAUUUUAUUCAUAUUGCUAUUAAAAAAAAAUUAAAAAUUUAAUUUUUUUUCUUAUCUUUCAAGCUCUCAAUAUAUUAACUUCUCAUCUCUUCAUCUCUCACAUUUCUCUUUCUCUCUUAAUUGAUUCAUAGUUUGAAAUUAGACAAAAUUUUACCACAUAAAAUCAAAACUAAUAUUAUUAUCAAUAAUAAAAACCAUCAUUUGUUCAUAAAAUUUAACAAAACCCAAUAUUAAAACUCAUCAUAUGGUGGUAGAGGUGAUGGAUUGAUGGUGAAGAAAAUAUGUGUUGGUCAUUUGAUGAUGAUGAUGAACUCAUUGUAGAUGAAGUGGUGGGGGUAAUGGUUAUGCUAGAGAGAGGAGGAAGACGGAGAAUAAAAUGAAAUAAAUAAUAAUAAUUUUUUAUUUUAAUAAUGGGAAUUUUGAAAAGUAGUAAAAUAAACUGAAAAUAGGAGUUAAUGUGAUAACUUGAGGUGGUCAAAUAACAUAACCUUAAAAUUUGAGAAUUAAUUUAUGUUACUUGGGCAGAAUAUUUACAUGUUCGGAAAUAAAAAAGAAAAAAAUCAGAACAUAAAAAGAAUUUUAAUAGAAAUGUUUCAUUAAUGCUUUUAAAAUCAUCAUUGUGUCUUGAUUAUAUAUAUUGCUUCCUUUGGCUGUGUAUGCUACGACUUGCAGGUACCAAGGCUUGCGCUUUCAAUAAUUUGAGGCCUCAAUCAUCUCUAACUUAUUUUAUUUUAUUUUUCUAUUCAAACAUAAUUAUGAAAAUGUAAGAUAAAGUGAAAAAUAGUCAAUUUAUAUAUGCGUUUAAUGGCAAAUUUAUUUAAUCUCUUUGAGAUUUGUUCAUAUUACGAGCAAGCUCGAUCUCUUAGUUUGGAUCGUUUAAUGGAGAUUUGAUAAAUUUUAUAAAUGUUGAAGGAGGUAUAUAUGGGUAAUUAUUUUAUGGAUGUUGUUAUAUGAUUGUUUUCAAAAUCAAACACGACAUGGUAAAGCUAAUUCAUUUUGUAAUCUGUAAUUUUAUAUCCAAUGAAAUUAAGCAUGCAUGCAUCCUUUUUUAGUGCAGACAAUAAUCGUCAUUUUCUAGAAAUUCCGAUGUUGUACAAAGAAUUAAUAAAUGAUAAAAAUAAAAAAUUUAAUUUGAGACAUUAUUUGUACAAUAGCAUAUAUGAUUUUGCAACUUUUUACACAAAUAUAUAGUUGGAUAUCAGCACUUUAUACGAGUUUUGAUUAUGUGCGUAAAACUAUUAAUUACAACACAAAUAAAUAAAUACAUGACAAUUAGAUGGAAAGCUCCGAAAAAUCCGGACGUGGAAAAAACCCUAGCGCUGAAGGAAUUUUCCCUCCGCCGUUCAGGGAAACUAGAACAACUAAGAAGGCAAGGUUUCGUGAUGAGGAGGUUGCUGAUGAUACCCCUGUACAUGUUUCGUAUAAGGAAACCCUCGUAAACUCGUCGCGUGCAAUGGAGACGGGCUAUGAUGGCGGCGCAGUGGACUGGGAGUUUGAGGAAGGGGACGUGACUGAAAUUAAAGAUGGAACUAUGCCUUCCAUAACCUUCUCGGAUAGGGUUCAUGAGAAGCUAUGUGAACCAUGGAAGAACUCAGUGACAGUGAAGUUGCUGGGUCGCACGAUCGGUUAUAGAACACUAUGUACGAGAUUGAACGCCAUGUGGAAAACAACAAUGACUUACUCGGUGAUAGACCUAGAAAACAAUUAUUUCCUGGUUCGCUUUCGUUCGGCUACUGAUGCUGUCGAUGCCCUAACAAAAGGUCCGUGGAUUAUUAUGGGGCAUUAUCUCACGGUGCAGCCAUGGACGCUGUCUUUUGAUGCCAAUACAACGGACAUGGAGCAAGUUAAUGUAUGGAUCCGUUUACCUGGACUCGAUGUUCAUUUAUACAACCGGAAAGUUCUUCAGAAGCUCGGAGAAUUGGUGGGUACAGUGAUUAGAAUUGAUUCGAACACAGUAUCCUCAGCGCGUGGAAGAUUUGCACGAAUUGCAGUUCAUAUCUCCCUGGCUAAGCCCUUAGUUUCUCAGUUUGUGUUGGAUGGGAAGGUUCAAAAGGUAGAGUAUGAGGGAUUACCAGUGAUUUGCUUCACAUGUGAAAGAUACGGCCAUAGUAGUAGCAGUUGCAAGAGCUCGAAUUCAGCAAACAAUUCUGGAGAAUGGGUACAACCACAACCCAAUACGCAGCCCCAGGGGAACACUGUCCAGCUAGAUGAUCAUGGUAAUAUUGAUAGUAAUGCCGAGUCUUUUGGACCUUAGAUGAUAGCCACGAGAAAAGGCAGAAAAUUUAAUAGUGGCAAGGACAUUAACAAUGGCUUGAAUAGGAACCGAGAGAAUACAAGGGCUGGUGUUUCCAGAUUCCAAAAUCUUGAGCAGGUCACGGACGACCGUGAGCACCCCCAUCAUGCAGCUGUGAUAGACAAUCCAUCCACUUCUCAUCAACCAAACACGGCCAACCCUUACCAGAUAUUUACUGCCAAUCACGAGGAUAGAACAAAAACUCUGGCUAGAUGUAAGCAGCACACCACAACUGUUACUGCCAAACCCCAGAAGAAGACGCCAGCUUCCUCUUUGAACCCAACCCGAAACCCUUUUCAGCAGAGCACUUUCACUUUAAGAGAAGAAAAUACAAACUUUUUACCUCAUGCAAACCCUAGGACCGAAUCAUGUCUUAACCCUCAGUUCAACCCUAGCCACCAACAAAUUUCCCCUCUAGUUACAACCUUGGAUCCAAAAAUGCAUACGGUGAUAUUCUGUGCCAACCAAAACUUUUCUCUUGGAGAUGUAAGGGAGGCGGGCAGUGAUCAGGGAGAUCGGCUGGGAAGGGAAUAUGAGCACUCGUCUGACUCUCCAGACGGUCAGCAUGCUGGUUGUGUAAACGACGUAAAUGCUCAAGCGCACUCGGCUAUGUCUAUGGGUGAGAAUGAAGGGGAGGAGAUGUCCGAUGUGGAAGAUUCGAUGAUUGAGGAAACGCCUUUGGCGUUGAUGCAUGACAGGAAUGGACAACAUUAAUAAGGUGUCUGUGUGUCCUUAUUUUGUUUUUAUUUAUCUCAUGACGAUUAGCAUUAUGUAUUGGAAUGUCCAAGGGGCAGCCUCGACUGAUUUUCGGUGCUCCUUCAGGACAAUUGUUAAAAACUACAACCCAUCCUUGGUGGUUUUGAUGGAACCUCGCAUUAGUGGGGUCAAAGCAGAUGAUUUCAUAAAGAAGAGUGGUUUUGACCAGUCCCAUCGAGUGGAAGCAGUGGGCUUUGCGGGUGGAAUUUGGCUUCUUUGGCAGAGUUACAUAGAGGUGGAGGUGAUGCUGAACCAUAGGCAGUUUAUCCACUUUAAAAUAUGUAGGAAUAAUACUUUUAUGUCUUGGGCAACGACGGUAUAUGCCAGCCCAAACCCAAUGUUGCGGAGACAACUGUGGAAGCAUAUGGAUAGCAUUGCUAUGUCAAUUCAAGGGCCUUGGCUAAUUGGUGGGGACUUUAAUUCUAUAUUGUAUGCUUCUGAGAAGCAGGGGGUGCUACACGGAAUUCAGGAGUUUGCGGUAAUUUCUGGCAGUGGUUUGAUGGGCACCAAAUUUUUGAUUUAAAGUUUAAAGGCCCUCGGUUUACUUGGUCUCGUGGACUUCUGUUUAAACGACUUGACAGAGCUCUCUGUAAUAGUGGUUGGUUAAUAAAAUUUGCUGAUAAUUAUGUGCUUUACCUUUCGAAGGUUGCUUCAGAUCACAUGCCAGUACUGGUUCGUUUUGCGGGAGCUGAGCACAGACACUGAGGGACUAGGCCUUUCCGUUUUUUGGCACCCUGGCUGACUCAUGAGCAGUUCAAUUCUUUUGUUAAGAAAGUAUGGGAUCCUAAAGCCCAUUAUAGAGAUGCGGCGUCCCAUUUUGUCCAGGUGGUCCAAAAGUGGAAUAGGAAGGUGUUCGGGAAUAUUUUUCAGCGAAAAAGACGGUUAAUGUCUCGUAUAAAUGGGAUUCAAGCAGCCUUAGAAAGGUAUAGCUCCCGAGGGCUUGUGCAGUUAGAGGCUAGGCUAUGGAAUGAGUUAGAGACGGUGAUGGGUCAAAAGGAAAUCCUGUGGUGGCAGAAGUCAAGGAAAGAUGAGCUUCUGCACGGGGAUAGGAACACGAAUUUUUUUCAUCAAAAAACCAUUGCAAGACGACGGAGAAAUAGAAUUGAAGCUAUUCAAGAUACUUCGGGGAACUGGCUUUAUAGUGAGGAAGAGAUUCGUAAUUAUGCUAUUGGUUAUUUUUCGUCCUUAUACAAAAGUGAAGUUGCAACCUCUCAAAGUUAUCAGGUACCGAAUUUAUUCCCAGUCUUAAAUGCUUAUGAUUUGGAGAGUACUGCCGUUUCAGUUUUGGACGACGAAAUUAAAAGGGUGAUUUUUAGUAUGAAACCCCUCAAAGCUCCAGGUAUUGAUGGACUGCAUGCCAUCUUUUACCAGUCUCAAUGGCCAGUUGUGGGGCCCUCCUUCUGCAAGUUUAUGGGUGACAUUUUUAGUUCGGACAAGAUCCCCCAAGAAAUCAAUACUACCCUGUUGGUUUUGAUUCCCAAAAGCCUAAGUAUGUUUAGGCCUAUUAGUUUGUGCACGGUCGCUUAUAAAACAAUGACUAAAAGAAUUGCUAACCGUUUGCAAGCCUUGUUGCUUGAUCUCAUAGGCCCUCACCAGACUAGCUUUGUGCCCGGACGCCAUAUUAUUGAUAAUAUUGUUGUUGCUCAGGAAGUGGUUCACUCCAUGCGAAAGAAAACGGGGAAAAAAUGGUUUAUGGCUAUCAAAGUGGAUCUAGAAAAAGUGUACGAUCGACUUAAUUGGUCAUUUAUUUUCAAUACUCUCCAACAAACUGGUAUCCCGAUUCAGUUAUCUCGACUAGUCAUGGAAUGUGUAACUUCAGCUCGGAUGAGUAUUUUAUGGAAUGGUGAGGCUACAGCAGAAUUUAUCCCGGGGAGAGGAAUCUGUCAGGGGGAUCCCCUGUCUCCUUAUAUUUUUGUCUUGUGCAUUGAACGGUUGAGUCAUGGAAUAACACAAGCCGUGAGGGAUGGCAGCUGGAAGCCUAUUCGUUUGGCCAAGCAUGGAACUCCUCUAACACAUUUAUUUUUUGCAGAUGAUUUGCUCCUUUUUGCAGAGGCGUCAAUUGAUCAGGCGUAUACUAUAGAUGCAAUUUUAGACAACUUCUGGCGGAGCUCUGAAGCGAAGGUCCACAAGUCGAAAACUAAAAUUUACUUCUCUAAGAAUGUAGUUUCAAGAGAAGCUCAGCUCCUCAAUAAUGUUUUGGGGUAUUCAGCUACAAAUGACUUGGGGUGCUAUCUUGGAAUGCCUCUCAUCCAUUCGAGAGUAAAUAGAGCUACUUACCAAUCGAUUCUUGAAAAGGUGGAUAAGCGGCUUACGAGUUGGAAUGCAGCUCAUUUAUCCUUUGCUAGCCGAAUUACUUUGGCUCAUUCGGUGCCCCAAGCAAUGCCAAUUUACGCAAUGCAGACAAUUAUAUUACCGGCUCCGGUGCGUGGGAAGCUUGAGAAGUCUUGUCGUCGGUUUAUUUGGGAUGGGAAGUCGAAGAGCCAUAAGAUGAGUAUAGUGGGCUGGAAUAAAAUUUGCAUGCCGAAACCCAAAGGUGGCCUGGGGUUUAAGAAGUUGGAUGUGAUGAAUCAGGCGUUAUUGAUGAAGCUGAGCUGGGGAGUAGUUUCGAAUUCAGACAAGCUGUGGGUUAAGGUCAUCUGCUCAAAGUACGGGUCGGAUCCUAGACACUUGCCGUUGUCCCUCCCUGAGAAACAAGGUUCUGGAAUAUGGAAAGCCAUAAAGAGCACGUGGUCAGCCAUCAUGCAAGGAGCUCCCUGGGCUAUUUGUGAUGGAUCUAGAACUCGCUUUUGGCUGGACUGCUGGGCAACAAAACAAGGACCUUUGAUCAAUCUCGAUGUUCAUCCAGUGCCUCAAGAAUUGGUUAACGCUACGGUGAGUGCAUUUCUAAACGUGCAUGGGGGCUGGAACUAGUCAGCUUUUGAACAUUUGCUUCCCAAUUAUAUCCUGAUGCAAAUUGCUUCGAUAAUGCCUCCUAAUCCUCUUCUUGGUGUUGAUAAAAUAUAUUGGCGUUAUGAGCCAAGUGGCAACUUUACGGUUCGCUCAGCAUAUGAGUCUCUAUGUCAGCUGGAAUCCACUGCUACUGAUAAUGCAUGGAAUCAAGCAUGGUCCUGGAAGGGGCCGCAAGUAGCACGCAUCUUCCUUUGGCAGGUUCUACAUGCGAAAUUAAAAACCAAGAGUGAACUAUCUAGGCGGCAUAUUCCGGUUUCUCUGGGUUGUGAUCGUUGUGGGGCUCCUCUUGAGGAUAUUAUUCACGUCUUGAGAGAUUGUUAUUGCAUCAAGCGGGUUUGGCUUCGGAUUGUUCCAGCUCGGCAUCAUUCCUCAUUCUUUCAGUCGUCUUUACAAGAUUGGAUAAUUGCGAAUUUACAAAACAAGUGGAAUAUUCCCUCUCCAUUAUCUUGGGAGUGUAUAUUCGGCGUAGCGGUGUGGAGAUUAUGGUAUUGGAGGAAUCAUUUUAUUGUGGAGGGGAAGUUAGCAGAUAGCUCAACAGUCUAUGUAGAUAUUAUGGCCAAAGCUAACGAAAUCCAUAGACUAAAUAAUUCUUACAUAAGUCAACAGCCACGGAGGAAGGAAAUUUAUAUUGGAUGGCUGCCACCUCCAUGGCCCUGGUGCAAAUUGAAUACGGAUGGAUUUUGUAGAAAAGAUAAGAGGGCAGGUGCUAGUGGUAUUAUUCGAGACUCGGUCGGACACUGGAUAACUGGAUUUUGCAUGAAUAUUGGAGAGAGUUCGGUGCUAAUGGCUGAACUUUGGGGUCUAUACCAAGGAUUACGUCUAACUUGGGAGGCUGGAAUAAAACGUCUUUUGGUUGAAGUGGAUAACCUUUGUGUUACUCAAUUGGUCUCGAAGCAAGUGGUUGUGCCUAACGAAUUCUAUGCUUUAGUUGUUGCUAUCCGGGAGCUUAUUAGUAGAAACUGGCAAGUUUCCAUCACCCAUAUUUAUCGGGAAGCAAAUUCGGCGGCGGAUUUUAUGGCAAACAUGGCUCAUUCAUACCCCCAUGGAUUGCACUUAUUUUCUAGCCCGCCUGUGGGUAUUUAUUCAAUUAUUGUUCAAGACUUGUUUGGGGUUACUCAACCUCGUUUUAUUCCUAUUUAGCUCGCUUGCUUGAGCCCCAUUUAAUAAAAAUAAAUAAAUAAAUACAUGACAAAAAUAAUUCUUAGGUAGGACAUUCACACGAAACUGAGGUCAAAUUCUACUAUUUGACUAUGAUUUAGGACUGUAUUAUUAGUACACCUCAACAAUCUUGCUUGGCAAAAGAGUGGCGUUGAGACUAUGGCAAUUCAUCGAGCAGUUGAUUCAUUUAAUCAAACACUUGCCUCAUACUAUAGAGCACAAGGAUUUUUUUUUUUAUUCAAAUCUCAAUAUUCAUAAUUUUUUCCUCGGAAUCCUCAUUAAUUCUAAUAUGGCAAUUAAUAAAUAUCGUCCCUUGAAGGUAACAAAUACACAUGGGAGCAUUUUUGCGACAUGUUAGAUAGCCGAUUGCUAGCUAGUAGAGCAACAAAUAUGGGCAAAGACGACUAAAGAUGGCCAGUGAGCUGGGCAGCACGUGGCACUGCACAACACGCACGUGGGUUGUGCCGAGCCUAAAAUUUUAGGCACGCAGACCUUAAAAGCACGGCACAAUUAAAGAUGGGCCAAAGCACGACAUGUGAAAAAGCACGUAAUAAGCACGUUUCAUUAGUGGGUUAGCACGCAGCCCGCGAGCCAUCAAUAGUACGUGGGCCAAAGUAUAUCAAAGUAAAAUUUUUUAAUGAAAAAUAAAUAUAAAAUAUUAUAAUUUUACAAAUAUCUUAAAAUUAAACUUUUUAAAUAUAUUUUUUUAGCAUAAGCUUUUUAAAAUUAAUUUAAGUCCUAGUUUAAAUAAAUAUUCUAAUUUUUUUAUGUUCAUAAUUUAUUAAAUGAAUAAAUAAAUAUCAUAAUUUUAUAAAAUGAUAAAUAAAAAAAUUUACGACAUUAAUACUUCAUUUAUAAAAUCAUAAUUUAAUUAAUAGUUAAUGGAGAUAUGUUUCAUUUGUAAAUGAAAUAUUUUUCAAAUUUAUGCAAAAAAUAAAUAAAAUUAUGAAUGAAAUAUUUUUAUGAUAAAUUAAAAAUUACAUUUUCACUCAAUAGAGUUCAAAUGCAAUUAUAAUAUUAAUAGUUCAAAUAAAAUUAAGUGUAAUUAUUAUUAUAGGAUUGUAAUUUUAUUUUUCAUUAAUCAUUACUAUAAUAUAUGAAAUUAUUAUUAUUAUUAUUAUUAUUAUUAUUAUUAUUAUUAUUAUUAAUAAAAAAGCAUGUCAGGCACGCAAGAUAUGUGGACUUAAUAAGAAAAAAAAAUUAAUGGACUUUUUUGGACAUGACUGGACCCUAUAAAAAAAAGUGAACACGGCACGACACAAUCCACCAAUUUAGUGAGCCGUACCGUGCCUGACUCACAGACCCUCACAGACCCUUGUGUGCUGAUGUUUGCCGGCACGGCCCAUUGGCAUCCUUAGCGAUGACUUAGAAAGCCAAUGAACCAAGCUUUUAACUACAUAAACGGCGGCGUUUUUACCACAGUGAUUCGGGCUACCCAAUAGAAUUUCAUAAUAUCGUGUCCAUACUACCUUAAUCAUCGUGUUAAUAUAUUAUUAAUGUAGAGUUGUACCUACUCCAUUAAAGAGAUGACAAACAAGGUACUGCUGUUUUGAAAUAAAUGAAAUAGAUUAACAAAAUAUUAAAUAUUAAUGGUUCGCUAUACUUUUUAGGCAAAAACAAAAGGUAGCCGACAAGAAGAUAACCACAAAAAUUAACAAAGAGUGAGGUGACGACCAUGCAUAUAUGAUUCCCUUUUGCCGUUUUGGCAUUUAUUUCCUUAUCCCCAAUACCAAAGGCCAAAAAUAAAAAUAUAAGAAACUACUGUAAAAGUGAAGAGUAUUCGAACAUUUCGAAUAAUAGUAUCUAUUUGAUAUCUUUUAAUUUUUUUAAUUAAAUAUAGAGAAAUAUAUGGUAUUAUCCAAAAUUAAUUUGAAAUUUUAAGUUUUGGCUUUCAAGAAAAUAUAGAUAUAGAUAAAUUGUGAUGAUGAGAAUACUCAUUGAAACAAAAUUUUUAAAAAUAUUUAAAGAGGUGGGACUAUAUGCAUUUUAAAAAUUAAAAAUUGCUAUGCUAAAUAUUAAAUUUAUAUCAUUUUCAAGUUGGUAAUAUAAAAAUCUCUUAAUUAUCACAGCCAAUAAUAAAUACCCUCAUUAAGUCAAAGCUCCUGACAUCUUUCCCCUAGGCCGAGGUUUAUUUGUCUGAUGAGAAAUAGAAAUUAACGGCAUAAAUAUAAUUUGUGUCAUGGAUAAGCAAGAUCAAAACCCUAAACAUCCCUCUUCAUCAGUUGCCUUAAUCAUUGGGGUGACAGGCAUGGCAGGCUUGAGCUUAGCAGAAGCUCUAAAGAAUAAUCCAACAAUACCAGGCGGCCCCUGGAAAGUCUACGGCACUGCCCGCCGACCUCCGCCCAGCUGGUUCCCGUCUUCUCACGUCGAUCAUUACAUAACCUUCGAUGCCCUAGACUCCACUGACACAACCCAAAAGCUCUCCUCGAUUUCGCAAGAAGUCACUCAUCUUUUUUGGGUCAUGUUCCAGCGUUUGAAAAGCGAAGAAAUCAACAUAUCCAAUAACUCAACAAUGUUUAAGAAUGUGAUGUCCGUCGUCGUAGACUCGAAUAAGGGACGCUCUCGUCUCCGCCACGUUACUUUGCUAAUGGGGACGAAGCACUACAUGGGUCCGGUAUUUGAUCCGUCACUUGUAGGUCAACUUAUCGGUCACGAUCCUCCGUUUAAGGAGGACUCGCUUAGAUUGCCUUUCCCAAACUUUUACUACGCGGUUGAAGGCAUUGCAGCGUCAUAUUCGCCGGCUGUAACGUACUCCGUGCAUCGUUCGUCGAUCAUAAUCGGUGCAUCUUCAAGAAGCCUGAACAAUUCAUUGCUCACUUUGGCUGUGUACGCCACCAUUUGCAGGCACCAAGGGUUGCCGUUUCGAUACUUGGGUAAAGGCCUUAAUUAAUUACUCUUCCACUUUCUUUCUUUUUUUGGUGAAAAAUGAUUAUAGUGUCGCUGUGAGUGUGUAUUUGUACGAGUGGUUAGACUCUAAUAUCUAACUAUAAUUUAAUACUAUAUUAUAAUUAAACUUUACAAUCAAGCUUCAAAUUCAUAAUUUAAAAUAUGCCUUUGAAGAGUAAUAAUUGUACGUGACAAGAUUACAUUAGAUAAUCGAUGCCUGUGAGACUUAAAAGACCAAGGAGUUAAGAAAUGCAGAUAAUGACUAGGAACUGAAGAACACAAUACUGCAAGCUAUGAGAAUUCAAAUUUUCCAGCAUACUUUGUAUUUCAUCCAUCAUUCGAUAAUGGCUCUUGAGCUUAUCCUUGAGCUAUUAGGAGAACAAUUCUCGAGCUUGCUGAGUCAUCUUCACUAGUCAGCUGAAUCAUGUGCCAUGAAAGGGAGUGAUGCUGAGACUAUGACCAUGACAGUUCGCUGAGGCAAUUCAUCGAACAGCUGAAUCAUUUAAUCAAACAGCUGCCCCAAACUAUACGACACAGGAAAUAUUUUUGUUUUCUUAUCAAAUCUCAAGCUUCACAUUCUUUUUUUGCUUUUUUUCCCUAAUUUUUGUUCCAAUAGCAAUUCAUGGAUCUUCACUUUCAGGUAACAAAUACACAUGGGAGCAUUUUUGCGACAUGUCAGACAGCCGAGUGCUGGCAGAGCAACAAAUAUGGGCAGCAACGACGGAUAGGGCCAAGAACCAAGCAUUUAACUGCACAAACGGCGAUGUUUUUACAUGGAAGAGCUUGUGGAAACUGUUGUCAGAAAUCUUUGACGUUGAAUUUGUGCCGUUUGAUGAGAAAGAAAAAUUUGACGCGGUUGAGAUGAUGAAGGAGAAAGGAGAAAUAUGGGAUGAGAUUGUUGAGAAACAUGGGCUGUACAAGACCAAAAUGGAGGAG